UACGUAGGUGGCAAGCGUUGUCCGGAUUUACUGGGCGUAAAGAGCGCGCAGGCGGUCGUUCAAGUCGCGUGUGAAAGCCCCCGGCUCAACUGGGGAGGGUCACGCGAUACUGAUCGACUCGAAGGCAGGAGAGGGUAGUGGAAUUCCCGGUGUAGUGGUGAAAUGCGUAGAUAUCGGGAGGAACACCAGUGGCGAAGGCGACUACCUGGCCUGUUCUUGACGCUGAGGCGCGAAAGCUAGGGAGC
rnacentral:rRNA from 1 species